AUUGAACGCUGGCGGCACGCCUUACACAUGCAAGUCGAACGGCAGCACGGACUUCGGUCUGGUGGCGAGUGGCGAACGGGUGAGUAAUGCAUCGGAACGUACCCGGUAGUGGGGGAUAACUACCCGAAAGGGUGGCUAAUACCGCAUAUACUGUGCGCAGGAAAGCAGGGGACCUUCGGGCCUUGUGCUACCGGAGCGGCCGAUGUCAGAUUAGGUAGUUGGUGGGGUAACGGCCUACCAAGCCUGCGAUCUGUAGCGGGUUUGAGAGGAUGAUCCGCCACACUGGGACUGAGACACGGCCCAGACUCCUACGGGAGGCAGCAGUGGGGAAUUUUGGACAAUGGGCGCAAGCCUGAUCCAGCCAUGCCGCGUGAGUGAAGAAGGCCUUCGGGUUGUAAAGCUCUUUCGGACGGAAAGAAAUCGCGCAGGCUAAUACCCUGCGCGGAUGACGGUACCGUCAUAAGAAGCACCGGCUAACUACGUGCCAGCCGCCGCAGUAAGAC
rnacentral:rRNA from 1 species